ACUACCUGCCCAUUCAGGAACAAGCAAUUUACAAAUUUACAAAAAGUAGAGUUUAUGCUACAGAGAUGACAAAAACGGGAGCUGGUCAUGCCAGAGAAACCAACCAUGUGAUUUGAGGGUUGAGCCUUUGCGCCAUGUGACAUCAGCCAGGCCUAAGGGGAAUGAAUAUAGCAGGGCUGGAGAUCAAGCCAAGGAGCAAUGAUUCAACCAAUCAUUCCUACAUAAGGAAAAUCCAGUAAAAACUCUGGACACUCAGGCUUAGCCAAAGAACACCAAGAAAACUACUACAGUUAAGUUGGAUUUACUACUCAUUGCAUUAAGGAAUGCACGGAGAACACACCAUGGGGAACCCUGCGGUAUCGUGAUGUUCUCAUUUAAGCAACAAGAAGAUUCGUCUCUCGCUAUUACUGUAACUGCUGUUUAUAUCGUCAUGUCCCGGAAAGGUCCCUGUCUUCCCUGAAUGGUCUCUACCAACUUCACCUCCGGUUCUAGGUGUCAUGGCUGCCCCAAGGGUCUAGAGACGACAACUUCUCCGCUUCCUCGGCGAUGGCGGCGUCCGGGAGCGGUAUGGCCCAGAAAACCUGGGAACUGGCCAACAACAUGCAGGAAGCUCAGAGUAUCGAUGAAAUCUACAAAUACGACAAGAAACAGCAGCAAGAAAUCCUGGCGGCGAAGCCCUGGACUAAGGAUAAAGGGAGAAGCCAAGAUUAAAAUUCAUGUCUUGACUUCCAACAUGAGGUCUACACAUUUUUCAGCUUUUGG
rnacentral:sRNA from 1 species